rnacentral:rRNA from 1 species
CUACGGGAUGCUACAGUGAGGAAUAUUGCACAAUGGGGGGAACCCUGAUGCAGCAACGCCGCGUGGAGGAUGACGCAUUUCGGUGUGUAAACUCCUUUUAUAUGUCAAGAAAAUGACGGUAGCAUAUGAAUAAGCACCGGCUAACUCCGUGCCAGCAGCCGCGGUAAUACGGAGGGUGCAAGCGUUACUCGGAAUCACUGGGCGUAAAGGACGCGUAGGCGGGUUGGAAAGUCAGGUGUGAAAUCCUACAGCUUUACUGUAGAACUGCACUUGAAACUUCUAAUCUAGAGUAUGGGAGGGGGAGAUGGAAUUAGUGGUGUAGGGGUAAAAUCCGUAGAUAUCACUAGGAAUACCUAAAGCGAAGGCGAUCUCCUGGAACAUUACUGACGCUAAGGCGUGAAAGCGUGGGGAGCAAACAGGAUUAGAUACCCCAGUAGUC